AAGGGGGCGGAGGGAAAAAUUGAAGUUGAUUUAGAAUUGUUAGUAGGAAGAAAGAAAGAUGCGGUGAGGUAGGGGAGAAGGUUGGGUCUUUUUGGAACCCGACUGUCCAAGAAAGCUGCAUUUCUUCUUCCCUCUUCUUCUCGCCUUUCUCUAUCUUUCUCUCUCUCGCCCCAUCGAACGUAGCGAAGAAAGGCACAGCUCUCUCGUCUCCAAGAAAUACCCAUCGGAGGUUUAUACGGCGAAAUAGCGGCGGCGGUGGCGGCUAUUCGGGGGAGGUCUUGCUCGACGGUAGACUGGUUCUCGGUGGAUGGUGGACCGAACGUUGUCUAUCUUUUUGAAGCGAAGACAUGCCGGGGUGUUUUCUUGAGAUCCGGGUGGCGCUUGGUGGGCUCGUAGUGUCGGCGUUGUUGGAUCCCUAGAAGACGACAGAGACGGUGCUCGUUCUGAUUUCUUGGUUCCCAGCUUGAUGGCGGCCACCAAGCGCGCCUACAAGCUACAGGAGUUUGUGGCACAUUCUUCCAAUGUCAAUUGCCUCAAGAUUGGGAGGAGAACCUCGAGGGUUCUUGUCACGGGAGGAGAAGACCACAAGGUCAAUCUUUGGGCUAUUGGGAAGCCCAAUGCCAUAUUGAGCCUAGCUGGCCAUACAAGUGCAGUAGAGUCAGUAUGUUUUGAUUCGUCGGAAGUAUUAGUGGCUGCUGGAGCAACCAAUGGCACAAUAAAGUUGUGGGAUUUAGAGGAGGCAAAAGUUGUUCGCACUCUUACUGGUCACAGGUCAAAUUGUGUAUCAGUUGACUUUCACCCGUUUGGGGAGUUCCUUGCUUCUGGGUCAUUGGAUACGAAUCUAAAGAUAUGGGACAUCCGAAGGAAGAGCUGCAUUCAUACGUACAAAGGCCACACUCGAGGUGUUAAUGCUAUUAGAUUCACUCCUGAUGGUCGCUGGGUUGUUUCUGGUGGGGAAGAUAAUAUCGUGAAGCUCUGGGAUCUGACUGCUGGGAAGCUUUUGCAUGAUUUUAAGUGCCACGAGGGUCAGAUUCAGUGCAUAGAUUUUCAUCCUCAUGAGUUUCUCCUUGCAACAGGCUCAGCUGAUAGAACUGUAAAAUUCUGGGACCUUGAAACUUUUGAGUUGGUUGGAUCUGUUGGGCCUGAGAUUACUGGUGUACGUUCGAUGACAUUCAAUCCUGAUGGGAGAACUCUUCUUUGUGGAUUGCAUGAAACUCUGAAGGUUUUAUCCUGGGAACCAAUAAGAUGCCAUGAUGCUGUAGAUGUUGGUUGGUCUAGACUGUCAGAUCUGAACAUUCAUGAGGGAAAACUUCUUGGAUGUUCUCACAAUCAAAGUUGCGUUGGAGUUUGGGUUGUGGACCUCUCGCACAUUAAGCCAUAUGCAGUUGCUAGUGCUGCAAGGUCAAAUGGUCAUUCGGAAUCAAAAUCCACUUCAAGUGGUAAUUUGUCUUUGCAAGCUGGCAACAAUUUAAAGACAAGUGUGGGGAGGAUAUCAGUUUCACAAAAUUCAGAGCUAGUAGUCAAGGAGGCAAAGCCUGCAGCAGCUACUGGAACCGGCCCUGGCACCCCUCAAAGGAUUGGAAUGAGCGCUGGUGCAAAAGUAACUGCAGUGAAUUCAGCAGCAGCACCUGGUGCUGCUGAAUCUACUGGAACUGGUCCUGGCACCCCUCAAAGGAUUGGAAUGAGCACUGGUGCAAAAGUAACUGCAGCGAAUUCAGCAGCAGCACCUGGUGCUCCAACUCUGAAGAGAAGUUCAUCAAAGACUCAUGGUUCAGCCAAUAUUCAGACUUUCAGCAAGAAUGAUGUCAUACCUGUUAUUGUCCCCAGAACUAACUUGAGAGUGGAGCUGGGCUCUGAUUCUAGAAAAGAAAAUGGCACUGGAAGAACACUACCAUAUAAUGUCCAGUCCAAAUUUUCUGAUUUCCGGCAGUUAUCAAAUAUCAGAGAUGAUUCAGAUAGAAUAGAUACUUUCAUUCAAUCUGGAUUCAUGGGCAAUAAGAACUUUGAAUCAAAUGAAGUUUUGGACCAAGAUUUUCAAUCUACUGGCAGUGGUGUAGAUCCUCCAUUGGGUGCUGGAGAACAUAACCUGGGUGAUGUUAAACGCAGUGUGACUGGGAAGCUGGGAGCGAGUUUGUUGACGGAGCCAAGCACUAGUUACAACCAUGAAAGUUAUAACUUUAGGGCCCAUAAGCCAAGGGAGACAUGCUCUGUGGAAGUUCUAAAAGGAGGUAAAACAAGAUCACUUGUCGCAAGUUGGGAAAGGAGAGAACGAUCUCCUAACUAUGAGAGUCCAACACCCAGCAGUUCUUCUGAGACUAUAACUGCUACUGAUGUCUCAUAUUCUUUGAGGGGGCGCUCUCAAUUUGUUGAAAAGGAAACAAUCUCUGCUAAUGAUGAAGAUGCUAUCAUUGAUCUGAUGGAACGGCACAAACAAUUCCUAGACUCAGCAGAGACUCGGUUGACGAAAUUACAGGUUGUUCACGAACUUUGGGAAAGAAAUGAUUUGAGGGGUCUCAUCAAUGCAGUGGAAAAGAUGUCUGAUCAUGCUGUAGGUCUCUGCUGAUGUAAUAAGCAUUUGGACAGAAAAAAGUGAUAAUGUAUCUCUGGAUAUAUGCAGUGGUCUGCUACCAGUCCUCACUAGCCUUCUAGAGAGUAAGAUGGAUAGGCAUUUAGGGAUUUCCUUGGAGAUGCUGUUGAAGCUUGUCAGAACCUUCGGCCCCGUAAUCUACUCAACUUUAUCAGCUGCUCCAUCCGUUGGUGUGGACCUUCAAGCAGAGCAGAGGCGGGAGCGGUGCAGCUUAUGCUUCAUCGAGCUGGAAAAGGCCAAGCAUAGUCUUUCCACUCUCGCAAGAAGAGGAGGGUCUAUUGCGAAGGCCGCACAGGAGCUGAACCUUGCUCUUCGGGAGGUGCAGGAGGUGCUCUGACUGACUUACAGAUUUGUAUACACAUGCAUAGGGGCUUGUCAUUAUUCAGCGCUGUCAACCCACCAAUGUAAAGCUGCUUAUUAGGAGCUUUUUAGAGAGAGAGAAGGGGGGGGGGGGGGGGGGGGGGGGGGGGGUUGCAUCAGGGCACUGAAGGCCAGCAGCAACAACCAAAGUGUUGCCUGCUUUAUUUAUGCUCGUAAGCUUGCUAGUGGAGCACCAGAAGCUCAAGCAAUGAUGAACAGGGGCUUUGCCGAGUUGUCUAUGUUUGGCAGCAAUAGAACAAGAAGCUCAGAAGGUUGAUGAACUUCUCCAGAACAUAGUGAACUGCUGACCUCGAUAGAGAGAACCCAUGCUGCCCCGUCAUAUGACAGUUGCGUUAGGCCUGUAUCAUUUUUUGUCACAUAGCAUGGUCCUACAAACUUUGUUUUUCUUGAUACUCAAGCCUGGCCCUUCCAGUGUUUGGAUGAGAAGGGCCAGGAGCAACUUAUGUUCAUGUUGCGUUUUCUUUGUAUCUCAAUUACAGGCAAUGGAGAAACUGUUAAUUGAUAUUUCUUAGCAGAAUUUAAA